AGUGAACGCUGGCGGUAGGCCUAACACAUGCAAGUCGAACGGCAGCACAGUAAGAGCUUGCUCUUACGGGUGGCGAGUGGCGGACGGGUGAGGAAUACAUCGGAAUCUACUUUUUCGUGGGGGAGAACGUAGGGCAACUUACGCUAAUACCGCAUACGACCUACGGGUGAAAGCAGGGGAUCUUCGGACCUUGCGCGAUUGAAUGAGCCGAUGUCGGAUUAGCUAGUUGGCGGGGUAAAGGCCCACCAAGGCGACGAUCCGUAGCUGGUCUGAGCGGGUGAUGAGGCACACUGAGGCUGAGACACGGUCCAGACUCCUACGGGAGGCAGCAGUGGGGAAUAUUGGACGAUGGGCGCAAGCCUGAUCCAGCCAUACCGCGUGGGUGAAGAAGGCCUUCGGGUUGGAAAGCCCUUUUGUUGGUAAAGAAAAGCAGCAGGUUAAUACCCCGCUGUUCUGACGGUACCCAAAGAAUAAGCACCGGCUAACUUCGUG
rnacentral:rRNA from 1 species